rnacentral:rRNA from 1 species
UACGAAGGGUGCAAACGUUAUUCGGAUUAAUUGGGCGUACAGGGCUCGUAGGCGGUCCAUCACGUCGGGUGUGAAAGCCCGGGGCUUAACCCCGGGUCUGCAUUCGAUACGGGCUAGCUAGAGUGUGGUAGGGGAGAUCGGAAUUCCUGGUGUAGCGGUGAAAUGCGCAGAUAUCAGGAGGAACACCGGUGGCGAAGGCGGAUCUCUGGGCCAUUACUGACGCUGAGGAGCGAAAGCGUGGGGAGCGAACAGG